CCACGGAGUCUAACAUGUGCCCGAGUCAUGGGGUUGUAAACCCAAAGGCGUAAUGAAAGUAAAGGUCACUUCGGUUGACCGAGGUGAGAUCCCUGUAAGGGGCGCAUCACUGUCCCAUCGCAUCUACUUGUUAGAGCGGUGGAGAAAAAGCGUACACGUUGGGACCCGAAAGAUGGUGAACUAUGCCUGAGCAGGAUGAAGUCAUCGGAAACGGUGAUGGAGGUCCGUAGCGGUUCUGACGUGCAAAUCAUCGUCAGACUUGGGUAUAGGGGCGAAAGACUAAUCGAACCAUCUAGUAGCGGGUUCCCUCCGAAGUUUCCCUCAGGAUAGCUGGCACUUAAACGCAGUUUUACCCGGUAAAGCGAAUGAUUAGAGGCCUUGGGGACGAAACGACCUCAACCUAUUCUCAAACUUUAAAUGGGUAAGAAGUCUCGCUUGCCUGACCGAAGCUCAGACAUUGAAUGCGAGUGCCAAGUGGGCCAUUUUU
rnacentral:rRNA from 1 species